rnacentral:rRNA from 1 species
UACAGAGGGGGCAAGCGUUGUUCGGAAUUACUGGGCGUAAAGGGCGCGUAGGCGGCCUGCUAAGUCGAACGUGAAAUCCCUGGGCUCAACCCAGGAACUGCGUCCGAUACUGGUUGGCUUGAAUCCGGGAGAGGGAUGCGGAAUUCCAGGUGUAGCGGUGAAAUGCGUAGAUAUCUGGAGGAAUACCGGUGGCGAAGGCGGCAUCCUGGACCGACAUUGACGCUGAACGGCGAAAGCUAGGGGAGCAAACGGG